UAUUAAAGAGAAGACCAGCUCCGAUCGAUCCUCAGUUCUUCACAAUUUUUGUUAGUUGUAUACUUGUAUAGUAGCUAGGAUAUAUGAUGAGUUCCUCAUCAUCCCGUUGUUGUUAUGGUUCUUGGUUGCCCAAUAAUCAUGGUAUCCUCCUCGGCCUGCUGGCUUUGACAAUAGUGUUUUUUGGUCGGGCAGAGUGUCGGGCGUUCUUCGUUUUCGGAGACUCCCUGGUCGAUAAUGGCAACAAUAACUACCUGGCCACCACCGCCCGCGCCGACGGCCCGCCUUACGGCAUCGACUACCCCACCCACCGAGCCACCGGCCGCUUUUCUAAUGGCCUCAACAUACCAGAUAUCAUUAGUGAGAAAUUGGGGAUGGAGCCAACGUUGCCAUGUCUGAGCCCAGAUCUAAAGGGGGAGAAGCUUCUUGUCGGAGCCAAUUUCGCUUCCGCCGGCGUCGGAAUCCUCAAUGACACCGGCGUUCAGUUUAUGAAUAUAAUCAGAAUUGGGAAUCAACUGGAGUAUUUUGAGGAAUAUCAGAGGCGCGUGAGUGAUCUGAUCGGCGCGGGUGAAGCUAAGCAGCUGGUUAACAAGGCCCUGGUGCUCAUCACUCUCGGCGGCAACGAUUUCGUCAACAACUACUACUUGGUGCCCUUCUCCGCCAGAUUCCUCGCCAGUUCACUAUUCCCGAUUACGUUCCCUUUCUCAUUUCCGAGUAUCGCAAAAUUCUUCAGAGACUAUAUGAUUUGGGAGCUAGAAGGGUUAUUGUUACAGGAACCGGACCAAUUGGGUGUGUACCUGCGGAGCUGGCUCAGAGGAGCCGAGCCGGGGAGUGUGCUGUUGAUUUGCAGCGCGCCGCUGCCUUGUUCAACCCCCAGCUCACCCAAAUGUUAGCCGAGCUCAACAGUGAGCUCAAGGCCGAUGUUUUUGUAGCCGCUAACACUUACAAUAUGCACAUGGACUUCAUCUUCAACCCUCAAGCAUUUGGAUUUGUGACUUCAAAAGUAGCAUGUUGUGGGCAAGGACCAUACAAUGGAAUAGGACUAUGCACGCAGGCAUCAAACCUAUGCCCAAACAGGGAUAUCUAUGCGUUUUGGGAUCCAUUCCAUCCAUCGGAGAAGGCAAACAGGAUAAUUGUGCAGGGGAUCUUCAGUGGCUCCACGGACUACAUGCACCCAAUGAACCUCAGCACCAUCAUGGAAUUGGAUUCUAGGACCUAAUUAAUUGGUUAAUAAAUAUAUUGUAACGUUACGUUACUGUUAUUUUUUUUAUCUGCCAAUUAUUGUAUCCUUGGAAUUGUCAUUAUAGCUAGAGGGCAUGCCCGCAUAUGGUGCUUUUUGGUUAAUUUGUAUUCCUUAAAAUCGUGAAGUUAAUCGAUUAUUUGACGUUUAA